UACGUAGGGUGCGAGCGUUAAUCGGAAUUACUGGGCGUAAAGGGUGCGCAGGUGGUCGGGUAAGUCUGACGUGAAAUCCCGCAGCUUAACUGCGGAAUGGCAUUGGAUACUAUUCGGCUAGAGGGUUGGAGGGGGGACUGGAAUUCUCGGUGUAGCAGUGAAAUGCGUAGAUAUCGAGAGGAACACCAGUGGCGAAGGCGAGUCCCUGGACAACUCCUGACGCUGAGGCACGAAAGCUAGGGGAGCAAACAGG
rnacentral:rRNA from 1 species